ensembl:lncRNA
ACAGACACACACACACACACACACACACUGCACCCUAGCCAGAGCCUGGCCAGUGCUGCUGUGACUGUUGGUUAGAUUAGAUCGGUUAGAUUAAAUCCGUUAGAUUAGAUCCGUUAGAUUAGAGCGGUUAGAUCCGUUAGAUUAGUGUUGCUGUGACUGUUGGUUAGAUUAGAGCGGUCCCUCCCGACCCAUCCAGUGCUGCUGUGACGGUCAGCAGUGUUGAUUAGAUCCGUUCGAUUAGAGCGGUUAGAUUAGAGUCGUUAGAUUAGAGUCGUUAGAUUAGAUCCGUUAGAUUAGAUCCGUUAGAUUAGAGUGGUUAGAUUAGAGCGGUUAGAUCAGAUCCGUUAGAUUAGAUCCGUUAGAUUAGAGUGGUUAGAUUAGAUCAGUUAGAUUAGAGCGGUUAGAUUAGAUCUGUUAGAUUAGAGUCGUUAGAUUAGAGUCGUUAGAUUAGAGUGGUUAGAUUAGAGCGGUUAGAUUAGAUUAGAGUCGUUAGAUUAGAGUGGUUAGAUUAGAGUGGUUAGAUUAGAGUCGUUAGAUUAGAGCGGUUAGAUUAGAUCUGUUAGAUUAGAGUCGUUAGAUUAGAGUGGUUAGAUUAGAUACGUUAGAUUAGAUCGGUUAGAUUAGAGUCGUUAGAUUAGAUCGGUUAGAUUAGAGUCGUUAGAUUAGAGUCGUUAGAUUAGAGUCGUUAGAUUAGAGUGGUUAGAUUAGAUACGUUAGAUUAGAUCCGUUAGAUUAGAGCGGUUAGAUUAGAACGGUUAGAUUAGAUCGGUUAGAUUAGAGUCGUUAGAUUAGAUCCGUUAGAUUAGUCUCGUUAGAUUAGAGUCGUUAGAUUAGAUUGGUUAGAUUAGAGUCGUUAGAUUAGAGCGGUUAGAUUAGAUACGUUAGAUUAGAUCCGUUAGAUUAGAGCGGUUAGAUUAGAGUGGUUAGAUUAGAUCCGUUAGAUUAGAUCGGUUAGAUUAGAACGGUUAGAUUAGAUCGGUUAGAUUAGAGUCGUUAGAUUAGAUCCGUUAGAUUAGAGUCGUUAGAUUAGAGUCGUUAGAUUAGAUCGGUUAGAUUAGAACGGUUAGAUUAGAUCGGUUAGAUUAGAGUCGUUAGAUUAGAGUCGUUAGAUUAGAGCGGUUAGAUUAGAGCGGUUAGAUUAGAGCGGUUAGAUUAGAUCCGUUAAAUUAAAGCGGUUAGAUUAGAUCCGUUAGAUUAGAGCGGUUAGAUUAGAGUCGUUAGAUUAGAGGGGUUAGAUUAGAGUCGAUAGAUUAGAGCGGUUAGAUUAGAGUCGUUAGAUUAGAGGGGUUAGAUUAGAGCGGUUAGAUUAGAGCGGUUAGAUUAGAGCGGUUAGAUUGGAGUCGUUAGAUUAGAGUCGUUAAAUUAAAGUUGUUAGAUUAGAGUCGUUAGAUUAGAUCCGUUAGAUUAGAGUCGUUAGAUUAGAGCGGUUAGAUUAGAUCCGUUAGAUUAGAAUCGUUAGAUUAGAUCCGUUAGAUUAGAUCCGUUAGAUUAGAGCGGUUAGAUUAGAGUCGUUAGAUUAGAGCGGUUAGAUUAGAUCUGUUAGAUUAGAGCGGUUAGAUUAGAGUGGUUAGAUUAGAGCGGUUAGAUUAGAUCCGUUAGAUUAGAUCCGUUAGAUUAGAGCGGUUAGAUUAGAGUCGUUAGAUUAGUGCUGCUGUGACGGUCAGCAGUGUUGAUUAGAUCCGUUAGAUUAGAUCCGUUAGAUUAGAGUGGUAAGAUUAGAGCGGUUAGAUUAGAGCGGUGAGAUUAGAGCGGUUAGAUUGCCGUCAGAUGCUCUGAGGUCAUGUGACAUUACACUAAUGUCUGGAAGACAAGGCUCUGGCAGGCUUUUCUUUAAUCAUUAGUUUUUUUUAUUUAUUUCUUUAUUUAAUAUGUAAAUUGUUGAGUAAAUUGUUCUGUCGAAAG